GUGGGUAUCUCAGUGGUAGAAUGCAUGCUUUGUGUGUAUUAUGUCCUGGGUUCAAAUCCCAGCUGCUCC